GCGCUGAUCAAUGACACGGUGGAUGUGCAGGAUGUCACUGUGGAAACUGGAAAAGAGAUCAAGAAACUAAAUGAAGAAUUAGCCAGACAGGAAACAAUAGCAUCAGUCGCAAUUCAACCAAUACCUUCAAGAAACAACCCACUUCUCAUAAAACUUGAAGAGACACUCCAAGAAAUUAAAGUCAGACGCCAAGCUUACUACUCCAACACAUUCAUCGGCAAUCAUGUUCAUAAAUGCCUGAAGGAGGUGAACAUACAAAACCUAACAUCUUCAAUCGUUGAUGAAACGUCUCAUCUCUGUCCAGCCAAGCACAAGGAGGCAGAAUGCAUCG